CCAAUAGCGUAUAUUAAAGUUGUUGCAGUUAAAAAGCUCGUAGUUGAAUUUCAGGCCUGGCUGGGCGGUCCGCCCUUCGGGUGAGUACUGCCUGUGGUCGGGUCCUACCUUCUGGCGAAGCGUCAUGGCCUUAACCGGCCGUGGCGGGGAACCAGGACUUUUACUUUGAAAAAAUUAGAGUGUUUAAAGCAGGCUAACGCUUGAAUACAUUAGCAUGGAAUAAUGAAAUAGGACGUUCGAUCCUAUUUUGUUGGUUUCUAGGAUUGACGUAAUGAUUAAUAGGGAUAGUUGGGGGCAUUAGUAUUCAAUUGUCAGAGGUGAAAUUCUUGGAUUUAUUGAAGACUAACUACUGCGAAAGCAUUUGCCAAGGAUGUUUUCAUUAAUCAAGAACGAAAGUUAGGGGAUCGAAGACGAUCAGAUACCGUCGUAGUCUUAACCAUAAACUAUGCCGACUAGGGAUCGGAUGAUGUUAAUUUUUUAAUGACUCAUUCGGCGCCUUACG
rnacentral:rRNA from 1 species